CCUACGGGUGGCAGCAGUAGGGGAUAUUGCACAAUGGGGGAAACCCUGAUGCAGCGACGCCGCGUGGGUGAAGAAGCGCCUCGGCGCGUAAAGCGCUUUCAGCAGGGAGGAAAAUGACGGUACCUGAUGAAGAAGCCCCGGCUAACUACGUGCCAGCAGCCGCGGUCAUACGUAGGGGGCGAGCGUUAUCCGGAGUUACUGGGUGUAAAGGGGGGGAUGGCGGGGAUGCAAGAGAGGAGUGAAAGCCCGGGGGCACACCCCGGGACUGCAGGUGGAACUGCGUUGCGCGAGUGCUGGAGGGGUAGGUGGAAUUCCUGGUGUAGCGGUGAAAUGCGUAGAUAUCAGGAGGAACACCGGUGGCGAAGGCGGCCUGCUGGACUGCAACUGACGUUGAGGCACGAAAGCGUGGGGAGCAAACAGGAUUAGAUACCCGAGUAGUC
rnacentral:rRNA from 1 species